rnacentral:piRNA from 2 species
UUAUACAGCAGUAUAUGUGCGGGUGA